rnacentral:rRNA from 1 species
UACGUAGGCAGCAAGCGUUGUUCGGAAUUACUGGGCGUAAAGAGUGUGUAGGCGGUGUUCUAAGUUUGUCGUGAAAUCUCCCGGCUUAACUGGGAGGGUGCGGCGAAAACUGGAAUGCUAGAGGAUGGGAGAGGUAAGCGGAAUUCCUGGUGUAGCGGUGAAAUGCGUAGAUAUCAGGAGGAACACCUGUGGUGUAGACAGCUUACUGGACCAUUUCUGACGCUGAGACACGAAAGCGUGGGUAGCAAACGGG